GUUAUCCCGAGUGUAAUCAAAUGACGACGUAUCUGCGAAUCACGCGCUUGGCAUUUGUAUUUUACGAUAUUUAUUAUGCACACUCAUUUACCUAUACAUAAACAUCGUCAUUUUAUAAUAUGCAACGACGUCAAUAGACAGCGGUGGUUGGAGUCGCCGUUUGGAGACAACCAGAGAUUCUGGAAUAUGAACUGCUGUUUUCACAAACCUCACAUGAUCUGGGAAAUUUUCACACUGAAAACAACACUGUCCACCUGACAAUAUGAGAGUAUACUGAAAAAUAAUACUCGUCGACGUUGGCAUAGUUCGAUACCUAACCGUAUGGAUUAAUAGUGGAUUUUUAGAGUAAUUGCUGCACAUAUAUAUAUGUGAUAUUAAGACAAAAAUAGUAUAGCCAUACAGGGUUGCUUCACCACUGCAUUUGGUAGUAUUUUACGACACACGACGUAUGUUCUAAGAAUAUUGUACAUGAACAUAAUAAAUGCCGAAUCUCGCAAAUGGAAUAAAUUUGAUAGGUUAUGAACAGAUUAGAAUCAGAUUACAUUAAUACCAUCACUACCCUGUUAACUAUAUACUUAUGAAUAUAAAACGAGUAUCCAAUAGAUCACAACAUUUUUCACUGAAGCAUAUUUAGUGGAAAUCGCCGGAUGCGACAUAAAGUCAAGGUGCACGCAACUGCUUUCGAAAUAUCGUGGGAUAUUUUACGGCUCAACACUCGUGUGUUGUGCUUUAUUCAUUUUAAUGUAUUGUAACAAUAUGCGCCGUAAAAUUACAGUGCGGAAUAAAUGCCGCGUGUUAAAAAAACGCCCAUGUAUUCCCAGCCUUAUACCAAUGAUGUAAAUAUUAAAUGUAUAUUUUGUGUAAAACGUAUAAGUAAACUUGGAAUAUUUUAGGUAGGUAUUUUUCUUAGUUGAUUUCAACCACGUAGUAGUACAAAACUUAAAUAGUUAAAUCGCAUUCUCUUCGUCAUACUUACAUGACUUGAGCCAAACACUUCAUCAC